rnacentral:rRNA from 1 species
AGAUUGAACGCUGGCGGCAGGCCUAACACAUGCAAGUCGAGCGGUAGAGAGGUGCUUGCAUCUCUUGAGAGCGGCGGACGGGUGAGUAAUGCCUAGGAAUCUGCCUAGUGGUGGGGGAUAACGUUCGGAAACGGACGCUAAUACCGCAUACGUCCUACGGGAGAAAGCGGGGGACCUUCGGGCCUCGCGCCAUUAGAUGAGCCUAGGUCGGAUUAGCUAGUUGGUGAGGUAAUGGCUCACCAAGGCGACGAUCCGUAACUGGUCUGAGAGGAUGAUCAGUCACACUGGAACUGAGACACGGUCCAGACUCCUACGGGAGGCAGCAGUGGGAAUAUUGGACAAUGGGACGAAAGCCUGAUCCAGCCAUGCCGCGUGUGUGAAGAAGGUCUUCGGAUUAGUAAAGCUAAGUUUAAGUGGGAGGUAAGGGUUAGUAACCUUAAGUACGUUGACUAACGUUUGAACGUUUACCGACAGAAUAAGCCAACCGGUCUAACGUUCCGC